CGUCGGGGCGUAACUUAGGCAGCCCCCUCCCAACCACCUGCCCGCCAGAAGACUACAAGUGAUAAACUUGAAACUCAAAAGACUUGACGGUGCCCCAUAUCACCCUAGAGGAGCCUGUCCUAUAAUCGAUGACCCCCGUUUUACCUCACCUGCCCUAGAACACAACCUUCAGCCUAUAUACCGCCAUAUUCAGCAAACAA
rnacentral:rRNA from 1 species